ACUUAACUAAACCUAAAGGCGCAAUGAAAGUGAAGGUCCGCCUUGCGCGGACCGAGGGAGGAUGGGCCCGUUAACGCGCGGGCCCCGCACUCCCGGGGCGUCUCGUUCUCAUCGCGAGAAGAGGCGCACCCAGAGCGUACACGCUGGGACCCGAAAGAUGGUGAACUAUGCCUGGUCAGGACGAAGUCAGGGGAAACCCUGAUGGAGGUCCGUAGCGAUUCUGACGUGCAAAUCGAUCGUCGGAACUGGGUAUAGGGGCGAAAGACUAAUCGAACCAUCUAGUAGCUGGUUCCUUCCGA
rnacentral:rRNA from 1 species